GGGCCAGACUCCUACGGGAGGCAGCAGUGGGGAAUAUUGCACAAUGGGGGAAACCCUGAUGCAGCAACGCCGCGUGAGUGAAGAAGUAUUUCGGUAUGUAAAGCUCUAUCAGCAGGGAAGAAGAUGACGGUACCUGAAUAAGAAGCCCCGGCUAAAUACGUGCCAGCAGCCGCGGUAAUACGUAUGGGGCAAGCGUUAUCCGGAUUUACUGGGUGUAAAGGGAGCGUAGGCGGCAGGGCAAGCCUGAUGUGAAAGCCCGGGGCUCAACCCCGGGACUGCAUUGGGAACUACCGGGCUGGAGUGCCGGAGAGGUAGGCGGAAUUCCUAGUGUAGCGGUGAAAUGCGUAGAUAUUAGGAGGAACACCAGUGGCGAAGGCGGCCUACUGGACGGUGACUGACGCUGAGGCUCGAAAGCGUGGGGAGCAAACAGGAUUAGAUACCCUGGUAUA
rnacentral:rRNA from 1 species